GCGGGUGUAGUUUAGUGGUAAAACUACAGCCUUCCAAGCUGUUGUCGAGGGUUCGAUUCCCUUCACCCGCUCCA
rnacentral:tRNA from 1 species